rnacentral:rRNA from 1 species
AUGGAUGGUCGGGGCUUCAAACCAGGGGGCCAAGAAAGCCGGCCGGCGGCGGCCGGGGCGGGCGCGGAGAGGGCCGAUGCGGCGGCCGCGGGCGGGGCGGCGGCGGCCAAGGCCAGGGAGGACGAGCAGCAGCAGCAGCAGCGUCUCCAUGGACGCGGCGGCGUGACGGCUUCCAGGCACGGAUCCCCUCCUCCACCUCCAUCCUCCACCUCUCCGGUCGCCCGGUUGCAACGCUCCUUCCUACCUUCCAUGGACGAGCUUGACGGAGACGCCGUCCAGCCUGACCACGGCUACGACUACCCCACGCACAAGAAAGGUAGUUAUUGUGAAUUGAUGUUCGCACUGAGGCCGGAGGCGAGAGGCGAGGGCACGAAGGUCAGCGGUAAGUGCUCAGGAGAUAAGAGGAAGGCGGCGGUGGCUGCGGUUUACACGAGAGCGAGGUGA